UACGAAGGGGGCUAGCGUUGCUCGGAGUCACUGGGGGUAAAGGGUGCGUAGGCGGGUCUUUAAGUCAGAGGUGAAAUCCUGGAGCUCAACUCCAGAACUGCCUUUGAUACUGAGGAUCUUGAGUUCGGGAGAGGUGAGUGGAACUGCGAGUGUAGAGGUGAAAUUCGUAGAUAUUCGCAAGAACACCAGUGGCGAAGGCGGCUCACUGGCCCGAUACUGACGCUGAGGCACGAAAGCGUGGGGAGCAAACAGG
rnacentral:rRNA from 1 species